rnacentral:rRNA from 1 species
AGGGUUUGAUCCUGGCUCAGAACGAACGCUGGCGGCGUGGCUAAGACAUGCAAGUCGAACGGGCCGGUUUUUUGAGCAAUCAACGGACUGGCCAGUGGCGAAAGGGUGCGUAACGGAUAAGUAACGUGCCUCGGGCUUCGGAAUAGCGCCGUCACGGGAAACCGUGACUACCGAAAGGGGCGAUAAUACCGGAUAACGUCAUUUACCGACAGGUGAAUGACCAAAGAUCAGUCGGCUCGAGAGCGACCUAUCUCCUAUCAGCUUGUUGGUGAGGUAAUGGCCCACCAAGGCUUUGACGGGUAGCGGGACUGAGAGGUCGGCCCGCCUCAUCGGGACUGAGACACUGCCCGGACCUCCACGGAGGGCUGCAGUAACGAAUAUUGGGCAAUGGGCGAAAGCCUGACCCAGCGACGCCGCGUGCGGGAGGAAGUCCUUUGGGACGUAAACCGCUUUUAGGAUUAUGAAAGCCUCGAGCAAUCGGGGUUGAUCUACUCCAGAAAAAGUCACGGCUAACUCUGUGCCAGCAGCCGCGGUAAGACAGAGGUGGCGAGCGUUGUUCGGUGUCACUGGGCUUAAAGGGUGUGUAGGCGGCCAGAUCAGUCCGUUGUGAAAUACCCCGGCUUAACCGGGGAACUGCUUCGGAUACUAUCUGGCUUGAGGCAGGUAUGGGUGCGGGGAACUGUUGGUGGAGCGGUGGAAUGCGUAGAUAUCAACAGGAACGCCGGUGGUGAAGACGCUGCACUGGGCCUGUCCUGACGCUGAGACACGAAAGCGUGGGCAUAAAACGGGAUUAGAUACCCCGGUAUUCCACGCCCUAAACGAUGUCAACUAGGCUGGGGAGGUUCUGACGCCGCCCUGGCCGAAGCAAAAGUGUUAAGUUGACCGCCUGGGGAGUACGGUCGCAAGGCUAAAACUCAAAGGAAUUGACGGGGGCUCACACAAGCGGUGGAGCAUGUGGAUCAAUUCGAAACAACGCGCAGAACCUUACCUGGGUUUGACAUGGUUGGAUACUUUACCUGAAAGGGCUAAAGUUACCCGCAAGGGUGAAACUUCCACAGGUGCUGCAUGGCUGUCGUCAGCUCGUGUUGUGAGAUGUCGGGUUAAGUCCUUUAACGAGCGAAACCCCUGCCGUUAGUUACCAGCCGGGAGCAAUUCCGGGGGACUCUAGCGGGACUGCCGGUGUUAAACCGGAGGAAGGUGGGGAUGACGUCAAGUCAUCAUGGCCUUUAUGCCCAGGGCCUCACACGUGCUACAAUGGCGAGUACAAAGCGACGCAAGACCGCAAGGUGGAGCAAAUCGCAAAAAAGUCGCCCCAGUACAGAUUGCAGGCUGGCAACUCGCCUGCAUGAAGUUGGAAUCGCUAGUAAUCGCGAAUCAGCUACGUCGCGGUGAAUGUGUUCCUGAGCCUUGUACACACCGCCCGUCAAGUCAUGGGAGUCGUAAGUACCCAAAACCGGCUUAUCAACCGCAAGGGGAUGGCUGUCUACGGUAAGUGCGAUGACUGGGACUAAGUCGUAACAAGGUA